GACAAAUUUUAGCCAGAUGGAUACCUAGACCACAAGGUAGCAGCAAAAUGGA
rnacentral:misc_RNA from 1 species